rnacentral:tRNA from 1 species
CGUUCUGCGGCUUAGUUGGUUGAAGCACGGGUCUAGCAAAUACAGAGUCGUGGGUUCGAAUCCCACCAAAAUGC